UACGUAGGGUGCAAGCGUUGUCCGGAAUUAUUGGGCGUAAAGAGCUCGUAGGCGGUCUGUCGCGUCUGGUGUGAAAACUCAGGGCUUAACCCUGAGCUUGCAUCGGGUACGGGCAGACUAGAGUGUGCUAGGGGAGACUGGAAUUCCUGGUGUAGCGGUGAAAUGCGCAGAUAUCAGGAAGAACACCAAUGGCGAAAGCAGCUCUCUGGGACGGUACUGACGCUGAGACGCGAAAGCGUGGGGAGCGAACAGG
rnacentral:rRNA from 1 species